CCUACGGGUGGCAGCAGUGGGGAAUAUUGCACAAUGGGGGAAACCCUGAUGCAGCGACGCCGCGUGAGUGAAGAAGUAUCUCGGUACGUAAAGCUCUAUCAGCAGGGAAGAAAAUGACGGUACCUGACUAAGAAGCCCCGUCUAACUACGUGCCAGCAGCCGCGGUAAUACGUAGGGGGCAAGCGUUAUCCGGAUUUACUGGGUGUAAAGGGAGCGUAGACGGCAGCACAAGUCUGGAGUGAAAUGCCGGGGCUUAACCCCGGAACUGCUGUGGAAACUGUGGGGCUGGAGUGCAGGAAGGGUAAGCGGAAUUCCUAGUGUAGCGGUGAAAUGCGUAGAUAGUAGGAGGAACACCGGUGGCGAAGGCGAGUUACUGGACUGUAACUGACGUUGAGGCUCGAAAGCGUGGGGAGCAAACAGGAUUAGAUACCCCUGUAGUC
rnacentral:rRNA from 1 species